UACGUAGGGUGCAAGCGUUGUCCGGAAUUAUUGGGCGUAAAGAGCUCGUAGGCGGUUUGUCGCGUCUGCUGUGAAAACCCGAGGCUCAACCUCGGGCCGCAGUGGGUACGGGCAGACUAGAGUGGCGGUAGGGGAGAUUGGAAUUCCUGGUGUAGCGGUGGAAUGCGCAGAUAUCAGGAGGAACACCAAUGGGCGAAGGCAGAUCUCUGGGCCGUAACUGACGCUGAGGAGCGAAAGCAUGGGGGAGCGAAACAGG
rnacentral:rRNA from 1 species